AACACGUUACAUGAAGCAAGUCCCAAAGUGAGACCAAAGGACGGGAACACAUCCACUUCCUAACACAGCAAGGAAGGAAAAAAGGAAGGAAGGAAGGAAGGAAGCUUAUCCAGCCAAUAGUCAGCACAGAUUGAGCCCUCGUUCCUUACAACAUGGUGAUCAGUCGACUGCCAGGCAAUCUGCUCUGUGAUGUUGUUCACACCUCCGUCCAGCCAACAAGAAAAAAAAGAAGAAGAAGAAUCUCUGACAGGAUAUGAUGACGGGCCCAGGUGCUGUGUUUCACUGGUGUCCUGGUCUUAAGGCUAUGACUGAUCCCACUGAGAACCUACUGAGAACCCACUGAGAACCCACU